UGAUUGUCAAGCAUUCGUUUAAUUUACAAAUAAUUAUGUGAACCUGAUAUUCUUACAAAAUCAAACAGCUAUGAUACGCAUCUAGACGAAAAUGGAAGAAGUAAAAUUUCAAAUAAAAAAAUAUCAAAAUAAAUAGUCAUGAACAAAUAAAAUGGUAGCAUUAUAAUUGUAAAAAGUUAAAAUGGGCUGUAAACCAUGUUGCAAGAACAGCAUAAAACCAUCGCCAGUUAAAUACUCUCCAGAGUCUUCACCGCAAUCCUCGCCAAAGGUAUCAUUACCCACAAAACACUGACCAGAGUUAUCCUUGCUUGCAAAAUACUUGCACUAGUUAUCGUCGCCCUCAAAACUUUCAUUCAAUUCCUCGUCUGAAUCAACGUAGGUCUCAAAAUUCUGCCUUCUCUUAUCAUCGUCCGCAGGACAGUCACCUAAUUCAUAAUAACAACUUACUGUCCGAAAAAUCUGUCCGUUUGGGCCUCUAUCAUCGUUGACUACAAAGUCACUUCUUUUACUAGUUACAAAAGUACAAAGUCGUCACCUUUAUCCCAUUUUAUCGCAAAUUCUCACCCAUGUCUCCUUUGCUUACUGAAUUCUCGCCCUUAUAUUCGCUACGCACGAUAUACUCAAACGUACUAGAAAUAUUUUUUGAAAAUCCAUGCGUAGCAAUCAUUUCCGGAAUACUUAUAUUGAUAAUCAUAUGGUUAUACUGGUCUUGGUACCAAUGCGAAGUUUGCCGACGACGGUGUUAAUUUGUCAAACAAGAAGAGAUAUAAUUCCAAGAUUCAACUUAUGAGUACGGGUUGAAAGAGAAAAUAACUAAGAUUUUUUAACAAUGAGCUGUUGCGAUGGUUGCACGAAUGAUGAUAUCCUUUUGGAGAACUCACUCAUUGGGAACAAAUCAACAACUCUGUAUUUCGUAUUGGGACUUGUUGUAAUGGCUUUAUAUUUAGCUUACCGCCUCUUUAAGUGCCGCCAUCCAAGAACUCGAAUACUUUGUAUGUUCUAAGUAAAACAAGUGAGAUAUGUAACAAAAAAUAUUUAAUACUUAAACAAACGUGUUACAAUAUUUUUAUAAAACAUUCCUAUUUUUAUUUUAACUUAACCUAUUUGAAAUAAAUUUGCCUAUUUAUUUA